rnacentral:rRNA from 1 species
UCGAGAAUCUUCCGCAAUGGGCGAAAGCCUGAUGGAGCGACGUCGCGUGAUGGACGAAGUGCUUCGGCACGUAAACAUCUUUUUAUGUGGGAUGAAAUUAUUGACAGUACCACAUGAAUAAGGGGCUCCUAACUCUGUGCCAGCAGGAGCGGUAAUACAGAGGCCCCAAGCGUUAUCCGGAAUCACUGGGCGUAAAGGGUGUCGAGGCGGUUGUAUUAGUCGUUCGUAAAAUCUACGAGCUUAACUUGUAGGCGGCGAACGAAACGGUACGACUUGAGGUUUGGAGAGGUGCGUGGAACUCACGGUGUAGGGGUGAAAUCCGUUGAUAUCGUGGGGAACACCAAAGGCGAAGGCAGCGCACUGGCCAAAAUCUGACGCUCACACACGAAAGCUAGGGUAGCGAAGAGGAUUAGAUACCCCAGUAGUCCCUGAGCGGGCUGGCAAGGCGCAU